rnacentral:rRNA from 1 species
CCCUUAGAUGUUCUGGGCUGCACGCGCGCUACACUGAAGCGUUCAACGAGUAUUCACCUUGCCCGGGAGGGUUGGGUAAUCUUUUGAAAACGCUUCGUGAUGGGGAUAGAUUAUUGCAAUUAUUAAUCUUCAACGAGGAAUUCCUAGUAAGCGCGAGUCAUCAGCUCGUGCUGAUUACGUCCCUGCCCUUUGUACACACCGCCCGUCGGUCCUACCGAUUGAGUGAUCCGGUGAAUAAUUCGGACUGCAGCACUGCUUGGUCUCCAGGCUUUGCAGCGGAAAGUUUAGUGAACCUUAUCACUUAGAGGAAGGAGAAGUCGUAACA